rnacentral:rRNA from 1 species
UACAGAGGGGGCCAGCGUUAUUCGGAAUUAUUGGGCGUAAAGGGCGCGUAGGCGGCUUUGCGUGUCUUUCGUGAAAUCCCUCGGCUCAACUGAGGACGUGCGGAAGAAACUGCAGGGCUGGAGUCCGGGAGAGGAGGGUGGAAUUCCCAGUGUAGCGGUGAAAUGCGUAGAUAUUGGGAGGAACACCAGUGGCGAAGGCGGCUCACUGGACCGGUACUGACGCUGAGGCGCGAAAGCGUGGGGAGCAAACGGG